UACGUAGGGGGCUAACGUUGUCCGGAUUUAUUGGGCGUAAAGAGCGUGUAGGCGGCCAGGUAGGUCUGGUGUGAAAACUCGAGGCUUAACCUCGAGAUGUCAUCGGAAACCAUCUGGCUAGAGUCCGGAAGAGGAGAGUGGAAUUCCUGGUGUAGCGGUGAAAUGCGCAGAUAUCAGGAGGAACACCAAUGGCGAAGGCAGCUCGCUGGGACGUUACUGACGCUGAGACGCGAAAGCGUGGGGAGCAAACAGG
rnacentral:rRNA from 1 species